AGGGGUAUGGUGUUAAUGGUAGCACGUCGGUCUCCAAAACCGCUUGUGAGGGUUCAAAUCCUUCUACCCCUGCCA
rnacentral:tRNA from 1 species